rnacentral:rRNA from 1 species
UACAGAGGGGGCAAGCGUUGUUCGGAAUUACUGGGCGUAAAGGGCUCGUAGGCGGCCGGCUAAGUCCGACGUGAAAUCCCCAGGCUUAACCUGGGAACUGCGUCGGAUACUGGCGGGCUUGAAUCCGGGAGAGGGAUGCGGAAUUCCAGGUGUAGCGGUGAAAUGCGUAGAUAUCUGGAGGAACACCAGAGGCGAAGGCGGCCUACUGGGCCAGUACUGACGCUGAGCCGCGAAAGCCAGGGGAGCGAACGGG